GAUGAACUCUUUUGUUUAGAAAAGGGACAUCCCUUCUUUGACAUAACUCUGGUUCAUCAACCUUUUUGCUCAGACACUGGUGACGUUUUACAAAGUCUGAGUAGCAGCUGCAAGCUUGUGAAAACCGAAUGAGUUUGGAAAUGUAUAUCCCAUGUGCAGGUGAAGUUGGUAUAUUGCUAAUAAGGUGAGGGAAUUUGAUAAUUUCAAAAUAAAAAUCGUCUCUCGUUUGUCAUAGAUCCUGGUACUGAGAUGACUGAUUAUGUCAAAUUCGAGGUAAAAGUCUAACAAUGAGGCAGAUGAAGCCGUUUCGGUUGUUUCUUUAAUUCUAAAAUAAUAGUUCUGAAGGUUACAUUAAUGGAAUCAGAAAGUCCAUUAAUUUGCUAAUCCAACAUUAUGAAACGAUAUCUCGACAUUUCCAUUGACCAUUCGUUAUGUCAUUGAUUACUUGCAAAGGUAAAAAAAACGAUGUUCAUUUCCUCCAUGACAACGGACAUAUGUGAUUUUUUCUAUCAGAUAUUAAUCACUCACACUUUUCUAUCCUAACAAAUUCGUUUUGUCAUAUAAUUUUUAUUUACUGAAGCGUACAAAAACUUUUCUGAUGUUUAAGUCUGACGCCGGAAGAAGAAUAUAUAACGUCAUACUGGUAUGUGCUAAAGACUAGAUCUACGAAUCGGGAAAUUUUCUAUUCAAAAUAAAGAUAAUUUUACACAUAAUAGAAACAGAAAUUCGUAAGGACUGGAUAUUGCUAUAAAUCAAGUCAAUUUUUGGGGGAAAAUAAAUAGCAAAAAAAAAAGCUUCGUUUAAUGCAUAUCAACAUUGAAUAACUCGUAUGGACAUUAAUCGAUAUUGAAAUCACACCCUUUAUGAAAUCUAUGCAUAUCAAUAUCCAACAUAACAGACUGCUAUGCUAUACAAAAGUAAAAAAGUGGCUGAAACUUUGUCAAUUUUGAAAUAAUGUCAACACAUAAGAACUGACUACUUGAUUUGUUAUACCCUUAUUGACAAAUCGUCUAUUCAAUGGUUGUAAAAACUCAUCAAAGAUAGCCGACUUAUAAUAUCCUGUUAACUAAAAAGCUACACAAAUUUGAUAGCAACAGUUUGAGUUUACAGUAUUUGAAAUAAGCAUUAAUUUAUCAUUUUUUUAUAGGCUUAACAAGAAGCUGAGUUGAGCGUUAAGUGCUGUUCCUGUACUAAAACUGAUUUGGAAUAUAAGAUGUUAGGGUAUCAUUUGUUUAAUCCAUCAUUUUCUACAUAAGGAAAUGCAUGUACCAAGUAUGGAAUAUGACAGUUGUUUUCCAUUCGUAUGAUUGUGUUCCUUGGAGUUCGGUAUUUUUGUUAUUUUACUUUUAUUUUACUUUUUACUGUUAUUUUUAGAGGAAAUCCUAGAUAAUCAUAAGUCUGUUCUAUGUUCCUUUGGAAUUUCAACCAAAGAUGAAGAACUGGAUCUUCCAUCACUGUAUUGGAUACCUAAACUACAUAAGUGUCCUUACAAACAACGGUAUAUUGCUGGGUCUUCCAAGUGCUCCCCUAAUCCUCUUUCUAAAUUAUUAACAUCAAUUUUAUCAGCAAUCAAAGCCGGGCUUCAAAGUUAUUGUGAAACUGCCUAUUCUAGAGGUGGUGUGAAUCAGAUGUGGAUACUUAAAAUUCCAAAGAUCUUUUAGAGUACAUACAAUCUAAGACUCUUUCAUCUUGCAAUAGUACUAAAACAUUUGACUUUUCUACACUUUACACAAGUAUUCCCCAUUCCUAACUAAAUGACAAAUUGAAAGAGUUGGUAUUGCUUUGUUUCAUAAAAAAGAAUGGCCAACGCAGAUACAAUUAUCUUGUCUUAGGGAGGGAUAAAUCAUACUUUGUAAAGAAUCACUCUGAUUCAAACAAAAAAGUCUCUGAAACUGACAUUAUCAAGAUGCUUGAUUUCUUGAAGAAUAUAAAUAGCUUCAGCCUGGAAGAUCACACAGCCUUAAAUGAUUCUCGAAAUAUAAGUUUUUGUGAGUUGGACGUUGUAGAAUCGGUGUCCGUUCACAGUGACCUUUCUUGUCGACGAAACCUGGAAAGAAGGUCGACAACUAGUCUAGCUGCACCAUCUAGCGCAGAAUCUGUUUUUUAAGAUGUGUAACGUCCCCUGCGGAUACUGUCGGCGAACGGAAAUACGGCCUUGGAGGUGGAGGCAGUGGAGCAUUUUGUCCAUACCUUGUAGUAGCUGCAGUGCAUGUAGUGUAACAGCAUAUAAACGAGGAAAAGAAAUGAGACCAUGGUGCAUUUGUUGUCAAUUCAAAAGCUGCACUUGGAAUGAUACAUGCAGGAAUUGGUGCCACACAUUUUAACAAAUUUCUAAAUGGAUUGAAUGUACCUCCUGUGAACUCCUCCACCAUAUAGAAAAAGGAGAAUGAAAAUGGAAAGAUAAUAUUUGCAGUUGCAAAAGAAUCCUGUUAAUUAAAUCAAGAGAAGGAACAGUUAAUGAGAUAUUGGAAGAUCUUAUGGUUGAUCCCCACCCUUUAACAUCAGGUUAUUAGCAGCAGUUUUACAGAAAAAUGAAGGAUAUACAUCGCUGUCAAUGGUAAAUGCAGCAUCAGAACGUUCUUCAGGCCAAUUUACUCUCAAAGUUUGGGAAAGUAUAAAUUGGAGAGGCAAAGAGAUAACCAGAAAACAAAGAAUUUGAAAAUAAAAAGAAUAGAAAGAAGGCCUAACAUAGUUCAAAUAUUAAAGAAGGAAAACAUAUGAAUAAGAAACUGAAGUAAACGACACUGCUUGUGACAUUCAGCAAACUCCUUCUCUUAUUCUUUGUAAUAUAUAUGUAUACAGAUCAAUGUGUAGAUUUUGAUUUGGAAACAAGACAUCUUUCAAAAAAUAGGUGACAUCACUCAGUUGGCAGCUGACAGUGGACCAAACCUAUUACAGAGUUGUAUCAUGCCAAGAUGUGACAUUUCAAAUAAAGCAAGCAAAAUAACUGGUAUUUUCUUUUCGUCAUGCCACUAAUAUGGUAUAUCUGAAUGGGAGAGAAGUUGAAACCUGUACUAUUCAACAUGGAAGGAUUGACAAUUUUGACAGGGAAUAAAGUGAACUCUAAAUAUGCUAUGACUAUCAAUCAGUAUUUGACUGAAUCAGAGGAGUAAACUAUAUAUGUAUUUAAAUAUAGGAGUCUAUAUUGUUGCUUAAUUAUUGAGGCAUUGAAAAUAAAGAAAGUUGAAAGACUCUUGAAAAAGUUAUAAAUUCAUCAUUUUUUGGUUAUGUUACCAUGACAACUAAAAUAUAUAAUGUGUAUGCUUCAUCAAACUUAAAUCAUCAAUUGAGGACAGGGUGAAAAAGUCUUGAAAUUUCUAAUCCAUUUACUUGCAUGACUGGUACCUAUGAAUCAAUAAUUGAAAGGAAAAAAUAUAUGGGGAUUUUUGUUAACUGCUGAGUAAUUUAUUUUGCUCAUUUUAGACCAUAGUAAUGCCUAUAAAAGCUGCAUUAUCAUGAUAUCAUGAUAUUCGUUUAUAUUUACUUAGAAGCCAUGUGUUAUAGCUCUGAAAUCAUGGCAUUUUAUCUCUUUUUGUCUGUUAGUAGUAAUACUUGCACAUCAGAACAAUGUAAAACCUAGAAUUUUCCUACUUCUUGUCCUAUUACCAUGGUAACCAUUGUUCAUAGAAACAUAAAAUAGCUUUCAUUUGAUUCUCAUCUGAAACUAUAUUGAUCUGCGUAGGUUUAACAAAAGAUAUGACAACAUGUGUCACACUUUGUAAACACAAUGUUGAAAGAUAUACAAAGAACUGCUGUUGAUCACUGUGUCGGCAGGGGUAACAAAAACGUUUUUAGGUAAAAAAAAUAGUCUGGUGACUCAUAUUUUUUUUUAUUUCUUUAAAGCUCAUUGUUUUGACCAUCUUAUGUCAAAUUUAAAAAAAAAAUUCAAUGGACCAAUUUUUUGGAAAUUUUAAAAAUAUAGAAAUUUUUAACCAAAAUCUCUGUUUUUUGUGUACAGCAGUGUUGAUGAAAUUGGAGCUGGAUUUAAUAAAUAUGUAUAAAACUGCCAUAA